GUUAUUCCUGUAGGAAGCUGUGGGCAAGCUGAGCUUUUAAUCCUUUUAUUGCAGAGGGGUGGAGGAGCUUUCUCAUUGCACAUAAAUGUGUGCACAUGAAGAGAAAUCAUAGACUUAUUUUUUUAAGGAACUUGGGAAAAAAAGGUGAUUUUUUGGUAUGUCAUUUUGGUAUGCAAGGUACUCUUUUCUUCUCCCACAGCUUAUAUACCCUGGCAUACAGAAACAUCGCAUUUUGUGGAAACAGGAACAUCUACUACUUCAGAAGUAAGAAGAAGACCAGCAUGGCAUUUAAACUUUCCCCAUUCUUUACCUAGCUAUGCAUGACAAAUUCAAGCCCCAGAAAAUUUUAGUACAAUUAAUUUGCAUGACAAAUGUUCAUACUAGGGAAAAGGUAUAAUCUGCAUUUAAUAUUCUUUCAAAACUUGUUACAUUUUAGGAAAGUGGUAUUUCAGACUAUGCAAAAAUACUGUCUACUUGUCCUGCAUGUGCAAGAGAAAUAAGAUAAAGACAGCCUACACAAAACAAUGAGACAAAAUUGACAAAUGGUGGGACACUGUAUAGACCUUUUUAGGUAAGCUUCUCAUGCUAGCCUGCUGCUGCAGUUGGCAGAAGUGAAAACCCUCCUAGUCUGCAGUUCUGACCUACUUUUAGUUGUCUGCUUUAGGAUAAGAUGGAUCACAUGCUAGAAGGAAUGUAUUCAUAACACGGACUUGAAAGGAAGCCUUGGGUGACUAGCUCAGAUUUAAAUGUAUGUGAUAAAAGAUUAGGGAAGAGAAAUGCCAUUCUUCUUUAUUUAUUUCUUCUGGUGCAUGAUGGGAAGAUUUAACAGGUUGAAAAUGUGCAGCUAUGCUCCACAGAAUGGCUUAAAGACCAUCAAGGAAAUUAUCAAGGAGAUGAAACAUUCUUGUUCUGUCCACUCAGUCUGCAUAGCAUCUCAGUGGCAACUGAAAUGCCACUUGAAAUCUAGAUUUAAAUAUUUUAUGGGAACUACUAAAGCUGCUCUCAUUUCUAGCAAUUUGAGAAGUUGUUCAACACAGCAGGCUCAAACCUCUAGUACCAUGGCUUCAGAAGGGACACCAAUACAGACUGUAGAAAAUAUGUGUCAAGCCUGUGAAGAUUCAUUAGCAUUUGUUGACUUUUUUCCCUUUGUCAGUAAAUGACUCCACCCUCCUUAUUAUUCAGCUCAUUUAAAUACAAUGAAUAGUACAGCUAUUCUUUCCUCACAUUUCUUCCUGUAUGUUAAAUGGAGACAGGAAAAAUACCAGUCGUGACAUGAUCAGUUCCAUUAUGAACCUCCUUGUCAACAGUCAUGAAUCUGAUGCAGUCUCACUUUACAUUCAUCAUUCACAGAGUGCCUUGAUUACAGAACUUUGCAAAGAAGACUUGUGCAAACACAAAUAAGAAACUAAUUCUCUUAAAACAUUUUCCUGAGAUGCUUCUUGCUUGCAGCAAUUUAAAGCUGUAUUCUACUGGGGAGGGUUCUUGCACAGUAAGGACACAACCAUCCAAACAUAUCAUAUUUUGUUCCUGGAACCAGAGGAAAAUGACAGGCAAAGAUGGAUUUGAAGACCUCUGGACUUGUAUGUGCCAUUUUUGAGUUGGUGUGAGUGCUUAAGGUCGGGGAUGGAUUCUGCUAAGCUGGGGAUCAGAGGGCUACUUGUAGCCACCACCUACCUCUCUGGCAAGGUCAGCCCUUGUUCACCUCCAUUAAUGAACAUUAAUUCUGUAGUUUGUGUUCCUUGCUAUUUGCAUAAGGGAAGUUGUGUCCACUUUCAAGGCUAAGCAAAAGUAGUUAAAAUUUAUAUUGGGAAAAAACUUGCAGUUACUCUAAUUCCCUUUGGGGUUUGGCGUUUGGUUUGGGUAUUGGUUUUGCUGUUGCUUCCCCUCCCCGAGGACAAUAUAAACCCAAGAAGCUCCCA